UACGUAGGGCGCAAGCGUUAUCCGGAAUUAUUCGGCGUAAAGAGCUCGUAGGCGGUUUGUCGCGUCUGCCGUGAAAGUCCGGGGCUCAACUCCGGAUCUGCGGUGGGUACGGGCAGACUAGAGUGAUGUAGGGGAGACUGGAAUUCCUGGUGUAGCGGUGAAAUGCGCAGAUAUCAGGAGGAACACCGGUGGCGAAGGCGGGUCUCUGGGCAUUUCCUGACGCUGAGGCGCGAAAGCGUGGGGAGCAAACGGG
rnacentral:rRNA from 1 species